AAAGGGUUCAUUCUUGCAUUUCUUGAGCUCCCAAACUUCCCAGGGCAGGGCCUUCAAUGGAACUUUGACAAUUUAUACCAGCUGAGGAUCUGCUUCAUAUUCAACUACAUAUGUACAUUGGGAGUCCAUGAGAGACUAUCAUUUGAUCCAGGCAUGCCAAUACAUGGAAAUCUCAUCUGUCUGUAAAAAAUACAAAAGACAUCCAGCCUUGAUCUGCAAAUGUCAAAUGACUGAGAAUGCACCGUAUCCCUGAAGGUGUUGAGUGUUUGAAGCUCCUGGGGAAGUCAGCAGUAGCUGUGGGUGUUCAGCAGCUCUGAAGAUCAGGUCAACAAUAAAUAAAUAGACAACAUGGAUCAACCUGAGCAACAUCAUGACUCCAUCUCCUUAGAUGUAAGAGGAGGAGGAGCACGUCAUCCAGUAAACUGACAACAACAAUUUGCUCCUAAAGAUGAAACUAAUGCUGCAGCUUUGCUUGCAAAACAUAUAUCAAGCUCCUUUUGGUAUUCAGCCUAUUAUUUAACUUGUCCACUAAGUAAACAGAUAUAACAUUUUGUCAUGAUCAACAUAAGUUUUAAAGAUGACUUAUGUGCAGAACCCACAUCUUUCCCCAUCUCAGCUCAGGGUUCCAAGGUUAAAUAUUUUAAUGACAUUUAUAUGUGCAUUUUAUUAUAUACAAUGCUCGUUAGAACUGGAGAGGUUUACUCUGCGCAGAUUAGUAUGCAAUCAAAUAAAAGUGCCACCUACCACAGUGGGUGGGCUUGGUGGAAUAAACUUUGUUGGCUAUAUUUAGCUGGAUAGAGCAAUGCUCGCUAACCACAAAAAUGUGUUUUCUGAACACUAAAUUUGAAAAGGCAGGAAUGUUUAUUUCUUAACAAGCUUCACUCACCAAAGAAUUGAAAACACUUGAGGGAUGUAAUUUAUCUGAAGUCUUUUCAACUGAAAUGUUUUCAUUGGACCAGGACAUUUAAGCCUAUGCAGUGAAUGAAAAUUAGUUCAUGCAAACAGCUAUCAAGAGGAAGUUGUUAUCCUUU